GCAGUCGAGCGAGCUUGCCUAGAUGAAUUUGGUGCUUGCACCAAAUGAAACUAGAUACAAGCGAGCGGCGGACGGGUGAGUAACACGUGGGUAACCUGCCCAAGAGACUGGGAUAACACCUGGAAACAGAUGCUAAUACCGGAUAACAACACUAGACGCAUGUCUAGAGUUUAAAAGAUGGUUCUGCUAUCACUCUUGGAUGGACCUGCGGUGCAUUAGCUAGUUGGUAAGGUAACGGCUUACCAAGGCAAUGAUGCAUAGCCGAGUUGAGAGACUGAUCGGCCACAUUGGGACUGAGACACGGCCCAAACUCCUACGGGAGGCAGCAGUAGGGAAUCUUCCACAAUGGACGCAAGUCUGAUGGAGCAACGCCGCGUGAGUGAAGAAGGGUUUCGGCUCGUAAAGCUCUGUUGGUAGUGAAGAAAGAUAGAGGUAGUAACUGGCCUUUAUUUGACGGUAAUUACUUAGAAAGUCACGGCUAACUACGUGCCAGCAGCCGCGGUAAUACGUAGGUGGCAAGCGUUGUCCGGAUUUAUUGGGCGUAAAGCGAGUGCAGGCGGUUCAAUAAGUCUGAUGUGAAAGCCUUCGGCUCAACCGGAGAAUUGCAUCAGAAACUGUUGAACUUGAGUGCAGAAGAGGAGAGUGGAACUCCAUGUGUAGCGGUGGAAU
rnacentral:rRNA from 1 species